rnacentral:rRNA from 1 species
UACGAAGGGGGCGAGCGUUAUUCGGAAUCACUGGGCGUAAAGCGUGCGUAGGCUGUUUGGCAAGUUGGAAGUGAAAUGCCAGGGCUCAACCCUGGAACUGCUUUCAAAACUGCCAGACUCGAAUCCGGGAGAGGAUAGCGGAAUUUCCAGUGUAGUAGUGAAAUACGUAGAUAUUGGAAGGAACACCAGUGGCGUAAGCGGCUAUCUGGACCGGCAUUGACGCUGAGGCACGAAAGCGUGGGGAUCAAACAGG